rnacentral:rRNA from 1 species
GAUGAACGCUGGCGGCGUGCCUAAUACAUGCAAGUCGAGCGAACAGACGCUGAUCUUGCUCCUCUGACGUUAGCGGCGGACGUGUGAGUAACACGUGUAUCACCUACCUAUAUUACUGAUAUCACUUCGGAACACGGGAUCUAAUACCGUAUAAUAUAUUGAACCGCAGUGUUCGAUAGUGAAAUACGGUUGUGCUGUCACGUAUAGAUGGUUCCGCGCGGCAUGAGCUAGUUGGUAAGUUAACGGCUUACCAAGGCAACGAUGCGUAGCCGACGGGAGAGAGGGAUAGCCCACACGGGAGCUGGAACACGGUCAAGACUACUAAGGGAGGCACCAGUCGGGAAUCGGAGGCAACGGGGGAAAGCAUGACGGAGCAGCGCCGAGUGAGUGAUGAAGGCGUUCGGAUCGUAAAACCCUGUUAUUAGGGAUAAACAAAUGUCUACGUAAAUAUGCCCGUAUUGACGGUAACUAAUAAGAAAGCAACGGCUAACUACGUG